rnacentral:rRNA from 1 species
GAUGAACGCUGGCGGCGUGCUUAACACAUGCAAGUCGAACGAAGCACUUUAGUUGAUUUCUUCGGAUUGAUUCUAAAGUGACUUAGUGGCGGACGGGUGAGUAACGCGUGGGUAACCUGCCUCGUACAGGGGGAUAACAGUUAGAAAUGACUGCUAAUACCACAUAACCCGCUAGGGUCGCAUGACCCAGACGGAAAAGAUUUAUCGGUACGAGAUGGACCCGCGUCUGAUUAGCUAGUUGGUGAGAUAACAGCCCACCAAGGCGACGAUCAGUAGCCGACCUGAGAGGGUGAUCGGCCACAUUGGGACUGAGACACGGCCCAAACUCCUACGGGAGGCAGCAGUGGGGAAUAUUGCACAAUGGGGGAAACCCUGAUGCAGCAACGCCGCGUGAAGGAUGAAGGUUUUCGGAUCGUAAACUUCUAUCAACAGGGAAGAAACAAAUGACGGUACCUGAAUAAGAAGCCCCGGCUAACUACGUG